UAGUUGUUUCAGUGAUCGAUGUGAAUUCAUUUUAUUAAGUCGAUCAAGUAGAUUGAUUAUAUUUAUGUUUAGCGCCAUCUGGAGGCUACUAAAUUCGUGUAAAGAAAUGGCACCCUUUUUGAUUUCCAGUGGAUGAAAUCCGUUGAUAUUGGAGGCAUCCUUGUGUAAUGUGGAAGUUAGAUGCACUUUAAGAAGGCAGAAUGAAGGUAUGUAAUGAUGCAAUGUGAUGAAUGUUGUAUAUAAAUGCUGUAAUGAUGCGAUAUUCUAUGAUUAAGUACCUUUCAUUCGCACCUAACUCGUUGUGUACAUUACAUGGAUGUAACUUACAUUGCACAGUAGCCGAGACGGUCGGCUCACAUACCGAAUGUUAUUGUUAUGUAAUGUACACUACGGCAUGCGAAUGAAAGGUACACGUAUGCAAGAAUGUAAACAAAGAUUUGCCUAGUUUGAGUCAAUGUACUAAGAUGAGUACUUAGGGUGCAUAAUAUGAGAAAGUUGUUAUAUGAUUUAUGCAAGUUUAUAUUGAUAGUUAAUAGAUGGUUUAGUUAUAAAGAUACAUGCUGUAAUUAUGAACAGAAGUGAUACAAAGGAUGUAUGUCAGAAGUCUGACUUAAUUCAAUUAAGCAUAUAUGUACUGGUAGUAACAAACAGUUAGAAUUGUGUUUAGUUUAUAUGCAGUACAAGUUAAUGUGUGAGAUAAGGAAAAGAGCUAAAACAAGGGGUUAAUUAGCUGUAAGGUGCAUAUUAUUGAUACGAGUCACCAGGUUUUCUCCAGGCAUAAUAUGUAUAUUCAUGAACUGUUGAUUUAUGAUCCGUUCGAUCUAUUUUCAUUUGUACAGUUUUUACGGAGCAUUUGGAGCAACAAGAGAAUUGGAAUAAUAAAGAAAGACCAAUAAACAAAGUCAAAGAUGCUUCCGCUACAGUAAAAACUUCAUUUACGUCUAGACGUCUCCACGACAACUGAAAGACAGCUAUUACAUCAUGGCUGACACUGAAGGUGAAAGUAGACCCCAUCGUGAACCCAAGCCCACAGAGAAAGGACUACAAUGGCAAGUGGAAAUUAAAUCCAAAGAGUUUGACAGCUGCAUUAAGUCCUGGAAUAGAACCGCAAACAAGUUGCGAGUUUUACUUGGUGAUGAAAGCGAAGCGUCGACAGUACAGGAGACUAGAGAUGCUCUACAAAGUACUGUAGACAAACUGAUAAACACCCAAGAAGAGUUGGCUACACUUAGAGCAACUGCGAAAAUUGAAGACAACAGUGAUGACAAGCUAGAUGAGGUCGAAACAGCACACAACAACAUCAUGAAACAGACUCUUGAUGUAUUGAUAGCCCUUAGACCCUCAUCUCGAACUUCAUCUAAGAAGUCGAAGAAGUCUCAUCCUGUUGAACCGCAGGAGCUACAGGAUUGCCAGGACUGGGUGAACGACAUCCAGGUAAACGACAUCCAGGAAGAAGUUGAAGCAGUAAGUCAAGUUAGUCAACCCAAGUUAGACAGUGUGCAGAACGUUCAAGCUGAGACGAUGAGAUUUCUGGUUGAACAGAUGAGGAUGACGAGGCUUCCUUUACCAGAACCAGCAAUCUUUGCAGGAGAUCCAUUGACUUACCCAGCAUGGAAGCAUGCAUUUGAUGUUCUCAUUGAACAAAGCGGUAUACAGCCUAUGGAUCGUUUCUUCUACUUGCAGAAGUAUCUCAAAGACCAGCCCUUGGAACUUGUGAGAGGAUAUGCACUCAUUGGAGAUGAGAGAGCUUAUCUAGAAGCACUGGCAGCUCUUAAGCAGAGGUAUGGAGACUCUUUCAUUAUAGCAAAUGCUUUCAGAGACAAGCUAGACAGAUGGCCUAAGAUUUCUUUGAAAGAUGCACUUGGUCUAAGAAAGCUAGCUGAUUUUCUCCACCAAUGUGUCACUGCAAUGGAUAGGAUUGGAAAUCUACACCACCUAAACGAUGAGAGGGAGAAUCAGAAGCUCUUAGCCAAAUUGCCAGACUGGCUUGUGAUGAGAUGGUCACGUAAGGUCAUCGGAUGGACAGAGAUGAAAGGUCAGUUUCCUCCCUUUCAAGUAUUUGUGAGGUUCAUAGAUGAAGAGGCUAAGAUAGCAUGUUAUCCAAUCACAUCUCUACACCACCUGAAGCCUGUACCAGAUGUUAGAACUCUCAAUACCAAUGUUACAUCUUCCAAUUCAGACAACAAGAGACAGAGGGAGAGGAGAAAUAUUCAACGCUCCUGCUACCUGUGUAAGAAGGAUCACCUCCUAGAAGAAUGCAGUGAAUUUGCAGCAAAGGACAUGACAGAUCGUAAAAGGUACAUAAGAGAGAAGGGUCUAUGCUAUGGAUGCUUGAAGGCAGGCCACAUGUCCAUGCAUUGUAGAUGGAGAAGUACCUGUAUCAUUUGUCAAGGGAGACAUCCAUCUUGUCUCCAUGAAGAUAGGAAGAAACCAGAACCAAAGACGGAGACAAAUGUAGAAGACAGACCCAUGGAAACUCAGACGUCAUGGUCUCAUGCUUCAUUUAGUCAGCAACCUACCGGUACUAGUAGAUUGACCACCAUGAAGAGCACGAUGAUAGUUCCUGUUUGGUUAUCUCAUCCUACCAUAUCAGAUGAACGAAUGGUGUAUGCAUUAAUAGACACCCAAUCUGACACCACUUUCAUGUUAGAGAAAACCAAGGAUGAGAUGAAUCUGCAGGGAGUUCCUGUCAGUCUCCUUCUUUCAACGAUGUCUGCUAUGGAUGAAAGAGUACCAAGUGAACGCAUAGAGGGUCUGACCAUCCGAUCAUUUGAUGGAGAACAACGGAUUGCUCUCCCGACAACCUACACCAGAGGGUUUAUACCAGCAAACCGUGAUCACAUACCCACUCCAGAGAUGGCAAUGAGAAUUCCUCACUUAUCCAAGAUUUCACAUCAUCUCAUGCCCCUGCAAAGUUGUGAAGUUGGUUUAUUGAUUGGAUAUGACUGUGCAAGGGCACUCAUACAAAGAGAUGUCAUCCCUCCUGCUGAUGAUAAUGGUCCGUAUGGUCUAAGGACGGACCUUGGAUGGAGCAUCCUGGGUACUGUGAAGGAAGAUGAACACAAGUAUGCUUAUGAGGAUGAUCCCGUCGGUGUAAGUCAUCGAUUGACAGCCUGUGAGAUUCCUGCUGAGCUAAGGACAGUAAACAAGGAUAUGUUGUUCGCACAUAACACAUCAGUAGAGGAGGAGAUCACCCCUGCAAGAGUGACGAGAUUGAUGGAAGCUGAUUUCCUUGAUAGAAAGGAUGAAGGAGCAGCACAAGCUGUCAAUUCAAGAGAGGUACUGAAGACUGUUCCAGAGGAAGACAGGGUAAAGAAUGUCAGAGAGAUUAACCUGCAUCAUGAUGAUUUACCUCUAGAGCGAGCUCUUGGUGUACAAGGGUGUGUCAAAUCCGAUGCAUUCAACUUCAGAAUCACACUUCAGGACAAGCCCCUAACCAGGCGAGGGAUACUUUCCACAGUCAUGUCUAUUUAUGACCCCUUAGGACUGUUGGCACCAGUUAUGCUUAUAGGGAAGCAGAUUCUCCAGACAUUGUGUAAGCUGACAGCAGACUGGGAUGAUCUGCUUCCAGAUGUUCUGCGAGAAAGAUGGAAGAAAUGGAGAAUAGACAUACUGGAACUUCAAUCACUCUCUAUCCCUAGAUGUUACAAGCCUGCUGAACUCGAGGCCGUGAAGUCGGUACAGUAUCAUCACUUCGCAGAUGCAAGUACAACAGGGUAUGGUCAAUGUGCCUACAUGAGAUUAACUGACGCCGCUAAUAGAGUACAUUGUAAAGACAGGCGUGAUAAGAAAGCAAGUGACUACCCAACAACCAAAAGGGGUGUUACUGUGCAGGAUCUUCAUCUAGCAGAGAUUAAAAUUCUAAAGCAUGAUCAGAAGAAAGCCUCUGAAGAUGAAAUUCAGAUCCUGAAAUCUAUCCAGAAGAACCAGAGUCUGCUUGAAAGAAAGAAAAGGCGUCAAAUCAAGAAAGAUAGUCAUCUAGAGCUUGACUACGAAUCAUUCAUUCAAGCACUUCGUCGUUUCACAGCUCUUCAAGCCAAGAGUGCAGCAUCUCAUAAAGUUCUGGAGUUCAGGAAUCGGUGGAAGAAGGAAUUUCUUCUGAACCUGCAAGUCCGACGGAAGUGGACUCACCCACAACCUGAAGCUGAAGUCGGCGACAUUGUCAUUGUGAAGGACGUGAAUGCACCCAGAAACCAGUGGCCACUAGCACGUGUUAUCAGAGUCUUUCCAUCUGAAGAUGGACACAUUCGCAAAGUGAAACUCGCUGUGGGGGACUCCAGAGUAUGUAAUAGCGGUAAGCGUAAGAACCCUCUUCAAGAAUUGGAGCGUCCUAUCCACAAACUAGUGCUUCUGUUACCGCGUGAAGACCAAGAGGAAUUCCCGGCCAAGGAACCCGACAUUUGAUAAUUUCGCGGGGAAUCCAUUUAGUUAGGGUUAAACUUGUUAUUUAAGUAAGACUUUAAGAUUUCUAGUCAAGACUGGAAUUAUUGAAACAACAGGUCUGUGGAUAAGACUAAUUAAUUUACAUUUUCCCCAGAAACGUUUAUUUGAAACGGUCUAGAACGAAGGCUGUUUGCUUCUUCAGGGUCUGCACGUGAGACUAUACAAAUUCAUUUAUUACAGACUCUGCUGCCUGAAUUGAGACUAAUUGAACUGUGAAAAUUGCAAUUGGACAAAUUUUCCAUAAAGACAUAAAACUUUCAUUGUAAACUGCAAUGCAUUUAAAUGUAUGCAUGUGUUGUUAUGUAUUUGUCUAAUAACCAUUUAUUUUCACAUGUCAGUUCUAGUAAUCUCUGAAUCGAUUUAUCAUGCUAAUCCACUGAAAUGUCCAUGUUUAUGUGAUUAAGUGGCUAUCACAUUCCAAAAAGGGGAAUUUAUUUAUUUUUUUUUUUGGCUAAAAAUUGCUAAAUUCCAGAUAUUUGUUGGUAGUAUAGUGGUUAUAUUGCAUUUAUAGCAUUUUUCACCAUGAAGUGAUAUUUAUUUAAAUGUGAACAUUUCUACUUUGAAAACAUAAGCCAUGUUUUUUGUGUUUUCUCAUAGCUACUAAGAUUCAUGCUUACCCGUAAAUGUGAAACUAGUAAAAUAACAUUUCUAUAUAAAGCAUGAAAACAGUGUUUAUCAGUAAUUGCAUUUGGUCUCAUAUUGAGACGAAAAUCUGUUUAAAGAAUUUAAAGGUAUUUUGUUAAAUCCAGUAAGGUAAAUAGCACAGUAUAGGUUUGUUUCAAGCCAGAUACAUUUGUUAUAUAGCUGUUGAAGAAACCUUGUGUAUGGACUUAUUUAAUACAAGCCGAGUCAGUAAUGCUGAUAGAACGGGUAUUUCCCACGUAAAUGUGUUUUAAAGCUAAUACUAUUUGGGGAAUUUUUAUUUGAUGGUUUGAGAUAGUGCAUCAUGUGCCCUAUGUGAGUUUUGAAAAUUAAUCUCAAAACAGAGAUAUAAAUAUAUAAUUUAUAUUGUUGUCAUCGAUAUUGCAAAGGUUAGACAUUUUCAUAAAGAGUGCUGAACUACAUUCAGUAAAUAGGUUAAAAGGGAUAGGUAAUUCCUUGAUAAUGUCAAUCGAUUGUUUGGUAAAUUUUAGAAUAAUUUAAAGGAGCCAUGUUUCAGUGAUCGAUGUGAAUUCAUUUUAUUAAGUCGAUCAAGUAGAUUGAUUAUAUUUAUGUUUAGCGCCAUCUGGAGGCUACUAAAUUCGUGUAAAGAAAUGGCACCCUUUUUGAUUUCCAGUGGAUGAAAUCCGUUGAUAUUGGAGGCAUCCUUGUGUAAUGUGGAAGUUAGAUGCACUUUAAGAAGGCAGAAUGAAGUUUUUACGGAGCAUUUGGAGCAACAAGAGAAUUGGAAUAAUAAAGAAAGACCAAUAAACAAAGUCAAA